rnacentral:tRNA from 1 species
GCUCACGUGGCGGAAUUGGUAGACGCGCUAGAUUCAGGUUCUAGUCCAAGCAAUUGGGUGAAGGUUCGACUCCUUUCGUGAGCA